CCUGGUGGGGUGUGAGCCGUGAGGGGUUCUCGUCUGUAGUGGACGAGGGCCGGGUGCACAACAACAGGCAAUCGCCAGACACACUAUUGGGCCCUGAGACAACACUCGGCCGACUUCGGUUGAAGUGGUGUCCCUCCAUCUUGGUGGUGGGGUGUGGUGUUUGAGUAUUGAAUAGUGGUUGCGAGCAUACGGAGGUCCGGCGAGGGGAUGAGGAACUG
rnacentral:misc_RNA from 1 species